GACGAACGCUGGCGGCGUGCCUAAUACAUGCAAGUUGAGCGCUGAAGGUUGGUACUUGUGCCAACUGGAUGAGCAGCGAACGGGUGAGUAACGCGUGGGGAAUCUGCCUUUGAGCGGGGGACAACAUUUGGAAACGAAUGCUAAUACCGCAUAAAAACUUUAAACACAAGUUUUAAGUUUGAAAGAUGCAAUUGCAUCACUCAAAGAUGAUCCCGCGUUGUAUUAGCUAGUUGGUGAGGUAAAGGCUCACCAAGGCGAUGAUACAUAGCCGACCUGAGAGGGUGAUCGGCCACAUUGGGACUGAGACACGGCCCAAACUCCUACGGGAGGCAGCAGUAGGGAAUCUUCGGCAAUGGACGAAAGUCUGACCGAGCAACGCCGAGGGAGGGAAGAAGGUUGUCGGACCGUAAAACUCUGUUGGUAGAGAAGAACGUUGGUGAGAGUGGAAAGCUCAUCAAGUGACGGUAACUACCCAGAAAGGGACGGCUAACUACGUG
rnacentral:rRNA from 1 species